GAUGAAGAACGUAGCGAAAUGCGAUAGGUAAUGUGAAUUGCAGAAUUCAGUGAAUCAUCGAAUCUUUGAACGCACAUUGCGCCCGCUGGUAUUCCGGCGGGCAUGCCUGUUCGAGCGUCAUUUCAACCCUCAAGCUCUCCGGAGUUUGGUGUUGGGGCGCCUGGGGCUUUUCGACCUCAGGGCCCUCAAGUCCAUCGGCGGGACCGCCAGGACACUGAGCGCAGUAGUAUUAUUUCGCUCGGUAGGAUCUUCCACGGCGGGUCGAUCUGGCCGCUAAACCCCCCAAUUCUCACCAAAGGUUGACCUCGGAUCAGGUAGGAAUACCCGCUGAACUUAAGCAUAUCAAUAAGCGGAGGA
rnacentral:misc_RNA from 1 species